rnacentral:snRNA from 1 species
AUGCCUUAAACUUAUGAGUAAGGAAAAUAAUGAUUCAAGGUGAUGCCGAAUCCUCACUGCUAAAGUGAGACAAAUUUUUGAGUGGCUAAAGGUCACCCCUAAGGUGACCCGCCUACUUUGUGGGCUGCACAUGGGAGCUGCAAUCUGCCCA